UUGGCAUCAGAGGCCGACACUAAAAANCACAACCUUGCCGGCAAAACAGCAUUCCAGAAUUCUGGAACGAGCCUUUGAGCCCAGAGAUGCCGGUGGUUGGAAGUUUCCAGAACGCAGUGGACAGGGGGGCGGCCGGGGGAGAGGAGCCGGGUGCCCCGGUCGCCUGGCCUCGCCAGCACUGAGGCAACAUCGACCAGGGCACUUGCGCCUCCAGCUGAGCCACCUCUGAAUCCGCCUCUGUCCAGGGUGAGACAGCAACGGGCCAGCGGGGCCACUGCUGGACUCCAUUCACUAUGAUCGCUCCCCAGGCCCCAUAGGCCUUUGAGUUUCCAGCCUCCAGCUUGAAGCCCUCAUGG
rnacentral:lncRNA from 12 species